rnacentral:rRNA from 1 species
UACGUAGGGUGCGAGCGUUGUCCGGAAUUAUUGGGCGUAAAGGGCGCGUAGGCGGCGCGGAUAGUCGGCGGUGAAAGCCCGGAGCUCAACUCCGGGUCGGCCGUCGAUACUUCCGGGCUUGAGCACUGUAGAGGCAGAUGGAAUUCCGGGUGUAGCGGUGGAAUGCGUAGAGAUCCGGAAGAACACCGGUGGCGAAGGCGGUCUGCUGGGCAGUUGGCUGACGCUGAU